UUGUCAUCUUGACCUGAAAUAACUGAGGAUUGUUUAUUCCAAAAAAUUGCCUGACACUUUUCUUUUCUUUUCGUCAAACUUCAUUUCAUUAAAGAGCCCAAAGGGCAUUACACAUAAAGUACAAGACCCAUUUAAAUAUUUAAUAUAAACCAAAGACACAGAUUAAAGCUUAUAUCAAUACAGCUCAUAGACACAUGUCUUAACAAAAGAUAAACACGGGCACGUGGCAGGUCUGGAGAAAAGUUGUUUCUUCAUUAACUCCAUUGUCGUCGGGGAAUUACUUCCAGUCACCGGCAUAUUUCUUUACCUUCCAGUUCUUCAUCAUCUUCGAACAGCUUCUACCAGAUUAAGCCUUUCUUUUUACCAAUCGCCUUUUGCAAUGAACAUUGGAAGUAAUUGACUUGAUUUACUUUGCUCAUCG